GCCACCAUGGUGUAGUGGUUUGACCAUUGGACUACAACUCUGGAGACCAGGGUUUGAAUCCCUGCUCAGUCA
rnacentral:tRNA from 1 species